GCCCGGUUAGCUCAAUCGGUAGAGGCAAGUCACCCACAUCCGACUCCAUUCAUACAAACAUCGUAUACUAACCUCCUCGGCAGCGUGAGACUCUUAAACCAUAAGAGAUCAAUCUCAAGGUUGCGGGUUCGACCCCCGCAUCGGGCU